GAUGAACGCUGGCGGCGUGCCUAAUACAUGCAAGUCGAGCGAACAGACGAGGAGCUUGCUCCUCUGACGUUAGCGGCGGACGGGUGAGUAACACGUGGAUAACCUACCUAUAAGACUGGGAUAACUUCGGGAAACCGGAGCUAAUACCGGAUAAUAUAUUGAACCGCAUGGUUCAAUAGUGAAAGACGGUUUUGCUGUCACUUAUAGAUGGAUCCGCGCCGCAUUAGCUAGUUGGUAGGGUAACGGCUUACCAAGGCGACGAUGCGUAGCCGACCUGAGAGGGGGAUCGGCCACACUGGAACUGAGACACGGUCCAGACUCCUACGGGAGGCAGCAGUAGGGAAUCGUCCGCAAUGGGCGAAAGCCUGACGGAGCAACGCCGCGUGAGUGAUGAAGGUCUUCGGAUCGUAAAACUCUGUUAUUAGGGAAGAACAAAUGUGUAAGUAACUAUGCACGUCUUGACGGUACCUAAUCAGAAAGCCACGGCUAACUACGUG
rnacentral:rRNA from 1 species